GGAUAAAAGAACGAUACAGAGAAGAUUAGCAUGGCCCCUGUGCAAGGAUGACACACAAAUUCGUGAAGUGUUCCAUAUUUUU
rnacentral:snRNA from 1 species